rnacentral:rRNA from 1 species
AUGAACGCUGGCGGCGUGCCUAAUACAUGCAAGUCGAGCGAACAGAUGAGGAGCUUGCUCCUCUGACGUUAGCGGCGGACGGGUGAGUAACACGUGGAUAACCUACCUAUAAGACUGGGAUAACUUCGGGAAACCGGAGCUAAUACCGGAUAAUAUAUUGAACCGCAUGGUUCAAUAGUGAAAGACGGUUUUGCUGUCACUUAUAGAUGGAUCCGCGCCGCAUUAGCUAGUUGGUAAGGUAACGCCUUACCAAGGCAACGAUGGAUAGCCGACCUGAGAGGGUGGGAGGCCACACGGGGACUGCGGCACGGGCCACACGCCUACGGGAGGCAGCAGUAGCGAGGCGUCGACAAUGGGGGAAAGCCUGACAGAGCAAUGAAUCGUGAAAGAUAAAGGGCUUCGGAUCGUAAACCGCUGUGAGGAGUGAAAAAAAAAUGCGUAAGCAACAACGCACGUCGUGACGGUACCGAAUCAGAAAGACGCGGCGGAUCACGAG